ACCUCUCUUUUUUGUGCCAGCAUUCUUUCUCCGUUCUUUGCCGACGUUCAGAGGAUGACGUUGCUUCGAAUGCUCACGAAUUACGGACAACCAUGCCAGAGAGCUCUGCCUGCCUCUUAGCGGCGCGAUAUUGUGUUAGUAAGACCACGUGUGUCUAAUUGGUCUGUCAAUUUGCCUUUACAUUGAAGAUUUUAAAAUCCGCUCAGCUUAGGAAUUGUGGAUGCUCUGAGAGCAGGACAUUUUCUGGCCCUUUGAUAAUUAACAUAUUGAAUCGAGGAAGUAUAGUCUGUAUCGUUGGGCUUCCUUCAGCUCUCUCUUUCUGUAACGUGGGGAUUGCAGUAUCUUUAGUGUCAAUAGAUUGCAAGUUCAUGUUCAAAGAUCCCCCUCCACUCUUUCUUUAUUAAAUGGAAUCAUUCAUGGCUUCGCAAAAGCAAGAUCUCAUCCUUACUCAGCUAAAUGAUUUCAUGCACAGUUUCUUACGUGCACCUACUUCUGCUUUAUGAACUGAGCGUAGCCGAAUGCGUUUCGAUAGAAGAGAAUCGAAAGGUUGCUUGAAUCAAUUAGCAAGAGAUUCAAUAGGAAUCUACUUGGUACUGUCCACCCCAUUUGUAAUGACACUUUCCACAACGUAGCUAUAGGAGGAAGAAAGCACCGUUCUCCUUUUUGGCAUAAGCAGUGAGUUCGUUGUUCUACAUCCAUCUAUAGCAACAAGCAAACGUUGUGGCUUGUGUUUCGUGGAUCUCUCUGCUCUUUUCUCGAGAAGUGACACGGAGCUCAUUGUCUCUGCGUUCCGAAGCCUCAAUUGACAAUCAUGUUCUUCAUUGUUGAAGACAGAAACUCCAUUUAGGCAAAUUUCAGCCAUUCAUGGCGCCCCGGAGCUGAUGAGGACCUUUCAAAGGAUUUAAAUAGGCAUUGUGCCAGAACGUAUGCAAACGAACCGAUGCAGGAAAUCAAUGUUGAGUUGCCUUUAGUUCCUCUGGCUCCUUCAUUUGCUUCAGUCAGUGCCCAGUAUCAUGAUAAUGAGGGCAAUCAGAGUGAAAUUUCACCAGGGCUGCAUGCUGAACGAUUUGCAUUGGAGCAAGAGGUGGCCAACUUGAAGGAGGAGCUCACUCACGGGAUUAGGUUGCGGGAAGCUCUGAAGCAUGGCCUUCAAAGGUCUCCAGGGACUCGGCCCAAAUUUCUUGGAUACGUUCCUACUAAGACGAGAGAGCUUCUAUUUGAAGUUGCUGUUUUAGAAGAAGAAAUCAUCUUGCUUGAGAAGCAUGCAUUAUCUCUGCGGAAAGAGCUGCAGGAUGAAUUUUUACCAGGAUUGUUCACAUCCUUUCGGCCGAACAGUGGAGAAGAGACUAUCUUCGCUUCCAAGAAACCUACUGCUUUGGAGACCGAGUCCUUAGAAUUUGGAGCCUUCGAACCUCCUUCGAAUUCUGAGCCAACUACUCCGGCUCUUACAAUGACUCCGUCGGUGACACCAUUUGAGUCUCCUGAAUGGGGACCCUCUACUUCUUCUUCUCCUUCACUUAUGGUGGAUGGAAGCAUGCAGCUGUCCUCAUCUGCACCUACAGCUCUUUCGUUACCCCUUUCCAUGAAUUCUUCCCCCUUCCAUGGUGAUGAACCUUAUGGUGUACCUUCUCAGUUGAACGGUAAUAAAUUGGUUGAAAGAAACCCCUCCUCCUCUAUGUCACUUCCUGCAGACUUUGGUGAUCGAUGUGAUGUGGUCGGAAAGCCUUCCAAAAAGAAGCCCACACACAAAAAGUCUGCAUCACUCUCAUCAAAUGCCAGAAAUACAGAUACGGACCCUGACGCGAACUCGGUCCAACCUGCUCCGCUACUGGAAGAGGUGGAUAAAGGCGAUGUUUUUCAGAGACUAUCUACACCAAAAAAUGGAGGACGAGCAAGACCUAAAGCAAGAGCAUCAUUUCUUCCCUCUCCCCCUACUAAUCCCGCCAACCCAGGGAAUAGUGCGCUGAGAAGGUCCGCAAGUAUGAAGCAUGUUAAGAGUAAGUCACCAACGCCAGGUACUCAGGUAACCGAGAAAGUGAAUAAUGGUCCUAAAAAGCCUCGGAGAAAGGACCUUCAUGGCCGUUCACCAUCGCUUGUUAGCCCCAAAUUGGAGGCUAAAGGAAGUUCUUAUUUCAAACACUCUGUAAGCAACAGAAGAACGCAAGUUGAAUGUUUAUCCGCAUCAACUCCGCCUGCAGUAAUUGAAGACAAGGCUAUGGCCAUUAUCAAGUGCACAGUAUCAAGCAUGAAUAUACCUGGAUCAUCGCAAUCGAAGUUUCACAAUCGUAGUAACUCACCACUGACCCCUACUGCGCAAAAGGGGUGCCAGGAUCGGUCAGUGGUGCCCUUCAAAUUGCCUCUAACUGCAGAGAAGGAAACAGUCAGGUUAUUGACUCUUAGUGAUGAACAACGAAGGGCGCAUGAUCUCGUUAUUACCAGGUCCCUGCCUCCCAUUAAGUUAGUCAAGGCUUCUGAGAAAACACCGGUAACUCCUUUCAAGGACGGUGAUCAGCAUGGCCUGAUUUGGGGGAACAACUUCUCUGAAAAUGCUAUAUCGUAUGCCAAGGAAAAGCUCUCGUCGAAAUCCUUUGAGGAAGGAUCUAAAGUGAAGCCGGUUCAAGCUCAGAAGCCUUCAUGUUACAGAGGUGAAAGCAAUCAAUCAAGCACUCCAAAAUUUGAGAUGUCCCAAUCGUCAAAUUGUUGGCCAGAACGCGAUACUGUCGAUUAUGAUGAUAAGGAUGAUAAAGUGGACAUGGUUUGUGGUCUGAUAUCGGACGCAGCCUGGGUAUCAGAGGAUCUUGCAAGACUGUUCGGCUCAGUUUGCUAUAAAAUUCGCAAGCAUUCAUCAUCCUCAGAUUCAGCGACUACGAAGAUUGUCGUUAAGUCUCCUUCUCCGUUGCUUGGAAGUUCCCGGAAAGUUUUCCCAUGCGGAAAAAGUUAUGUUGGUGACAUAAAGAGUCAAGGGGCUCUACAACUUCUCCAAGAAUACUGUUCGGAUGAAAGGGAUUGCUCGGAGGAUGCGGACAAGAAUAAAUCAGAUUCUCAUGGCAGAUGCAAACACGGGUCGUUGGGCAUAGGGCCUCAUCGUCAUUAUUACAAAUCACUCAAGCUACCUUUUGAGCAAAAGUUGAAUGGUGUGUUUGCAGAGCUUAGACGAUCUAUUAUGAAACGUGGAAGGAGGACUUCUCAAACCUCACAUGAGAUGCGGUUUUAUGCUGUACAUAUCAGUCUUUUCAUCUACUGUUGUUAUCGACCACAGCAUGGAAAGAAGACGAGCACUUUGCUCGCUUUGGCCAUCUGAUCCCCUGAGUGAGAAGUGCACUUGCAAGGGCAAAGUGCGUGUUCUAUCAUGGUAUGGAAUGUAGACGGUUUAUUGUGUACAUAACUCGAUAUCUUAUGGGGAAAUGGGGUAGGUAGGUGGAGCAUGCUGUAGCAUGUAAAAUUUUGGGAAGAAUUGACGCAUAACUUGCGAAUGAUUUAAUCACGGCCACCACAAGGAUGAGAUUUACCUCAAGCAAUCAAGUUACGCACCCAAAUGUCAAAACUCGCUGUUUUCGUCAAUUAUGCACUGUCCAUAGGAACGAUAUUUCUGUCAUCGCAUUGACUAUGGCGAGUCAAGUUUGGGAGCGUUUGUACAAUCCUUUGGUGUCCACAGCAUUUUCUGCUGCGACUCCUGGGUCGUGUCAAAUUCUGAUUCCCGACUUGCCCACCAACUCUCACACAUCAAAAUUUUAGACGUGUGUUGUAUUGAUUUGAUUAUAGUUUGAUAGAUUUUUCAAUGAAGAUAUUCAGAGUGUUGAGUUAAUAUUUGUGAUACCGAGAGCUUUGUUCAAUCGCCAUGCCUGGGUGGAUUGUCACAACAAACGAAACAUGGUGACAGCCGAUCUUUGACAUUGCUUCUAAAUCAGACACUUGACAAGCAUGAAAAAGCUUUCGACUUCACCAGUGGGCUUUGGGUCAAAAUCAUAUCAGCCACCAAACCAGCUAAUUAAUGACGAUCACAACUGGAAAUCGGAAUUCUCUGACGUCCUAUUUCACAAUGGCCAACCUACAGCUCAAUAUUUUGUACGGCAAUUUAGGAAGGAAAUUGUUUCCUACUUGUGGAUGAAAAGUCGAGAGAAAAUUAUGAACCGCAAACACCUUUAUUUGUUCUUACACUGAUCAAAUAGCAUGUUCACCUUGUGUUACUUCCUACUUUUUUUUCUAAUCAUCCAAAGGUAAAUAUAAUUCAUUCUUGGAUACUGAAA